UACGGAGGGGGCUAGCGUUGUUCGGAAUUACUGGGCGUAAAGCGCGCGUAGGCGGACCUGCAAGUCGGGGGUGAAAGCCCGAGGCUCAACCUCGGAACUGCCUUCGAUACUGCGGGUCUCGAGUCCGGGAGAGGUGAGUGGAAUUCCUAGUGUAGAGGUGAAAUUCGUAGAUAUUAGGAAGAACACCAGUGGCGAAGGCGGCUGCACUGGCCCGGUACUGACGCGUGAGGCGCGAAGCGUGGGGAGCAAACAGG
rnacentral:rRNA from 1 species